rnacentral:rRNA from 1 species
CGGACCGGCGCACGGGUGAGUAACACGUAUGGAACCUGCCCUAUACAGGGGGAUAAGCGGAAGAAAUUCCGUCUAAUACCGCAUAACACCAUUUGGAGACAUCUCCAGGGGGUCAAAGGAGGCGACUCCGGCAUAGGAUGGCCAUGCGUCGCAUUAGCUAGUCGGCGGGGUAACGGCCCACCGAGGCGACGAUGCGUAGGGGUUCUGAGAGGAAGGUCCCCCACACUGGUACUGAGACACGGACCAGACUCCUACGGAAGGCAGCAG